AUUGAACGCUGGCGGCAGGCCUAACACAUGCAAGUCGAAUGGUAACAGGAAACAGCUUGCUGUUUCGCUGUCGUGUGGCGCACGGGUGUGUCAUGUCUGGGACACUGCCUGAUGGAGGGGGAUAACUACUGGAAACGGUAGCUAAUACCGCAUAACGUCGCAACCCCAUAGAGGGGGACCUUCGGGACUCUUGCCCUCAUAUGUGCCCAGAUGGGAUUAGCUAGUAGGUGGGGUAACGGCUCACCUAGGCGGCGAUGCCUAGCUGGUCUGAGAGGAUGACCAGCCACACUGGAACUGAGACACGGUCCAGACUCCUACGGGAGGCAGCAGUGGGGAAUAUUGCACAAUGGGCGCAAGUCUGAUGGAGCCACGCCGCGUGUAUGAAGAAGGCUUUCGGGUUGUAAAGUACUGUCAGCGGGGAGGAAGGAAGGAAAGUGUAUACCUUUGCUCAUUGACGUUACCCACAGAAGAAGCACCGGCUAACUCCGUG
rnacentral:rRNA from 1 species